UGAUAAAGGUAGCAUAAUAAUUUGCCUUUUAAUUGAUGGCUAGAAUGAAAAGAACAAACGUAAAAUACCUGUCUCUUAUUUAAAAAAGAAUUUUUAUAUUGAGGUGAAAAAGCCUUGAUUCCAAUAUAAGACAAAAAGUCCCGGAAGUUUCCAAAGAAAAAAUAAUAUUAUAUCUAACUUUUUGGCUGGGGAAG
rnacentral:rRNA from 1 species